UGCAGUAGGCUACUGGCUUCCAUUACAGACGCUUUUGUUUUGCAUUAACAAUUGAUCUAUUCAAGUCUUGUACUUGGCGCCGUUUUGCUUCUCUACUCCAAACUUCGACAGAGUGGUCCAUCUGCUUUAAACACCGAAACUGCCCUGUUCCACAAACAUACCCUCGAUGUGGCUCAACCUUUUCAAAACUGAAAGUGAAUGACUACGAAUUGAGAGGGUCCGUUUGGAACAGGGAAUUAAAGUUUGGCACCCACUCUCCACACCGCUGUUAAAAUGCAGGGUGUUCAAAGAAGAGAAGACAUUGCAUUAAAGUUCCUUGCGAUGCUGCAUCGUCCUCCUUAAUGCAAUUUACACAAGUUAUGACUAAUUCUGAACGACAGAGCCAAGGAAGAAGACAAGAGACGCGAACCUUCAAAAAGCCCGAAGAGACCGCUGUCCAUAAAAAAAGUGCUGAAUCGCAGUACUGUGCUCAAAGGUAGAUAGCCUUCUGGAACGGCACCGUCCAAAACGUGUGCGCUUAAGCAGAUAUUAGACCGGCUCCCUCAUCUUGAUAAGUAAGAAAAUUGUGAUUAAAGUGAGAAGUGUUAUUGAAA